CGGCCACACGUUCGACUUACGGUGUUCGCGGGCGUACUAGCUCUGAGGAUGCAGCUGAAUGCACAACAAUGGCAAGCUUUCGCAGACACAGGAAGCUAUUAGUGGCGUUUCAUUUGCAGUGAAACAGUGUAGUCAGAAACGACAAAGUGGUACAAGGAGUGCGUAAAGAAGAACGUGUGACAUGGGUACAGCUGGUCGCGGAAGGAGCCAGCGGGUGUGUGUCAUUGACAACGCCGUCGGGCACACGAAUGUGGUCGGCAGUUUCAUGCUGUACGACGUCGCCCCCUCUCAGGGUCACGACGGCUAAACGAGAGCCAACGCAUCGUUGAUCAACCCCCGCGCAGGGUGGCCAACUGGAGACUUGCGUCUGCUUAACCUGCCCGCCAGUCCUCUUCGCCUGGAUAGAGCUGCGUGUUGCUUCAGCAGGACUGUGGAUUCAGGCCGAAAAGUCGCGCUGGUUCGGAGCGUUCUGCGUCCGGCGUCAUUUCCGGUAAGUGCUAAUGUCAGCGC